GGGAGAGACUGUUAAUAGGAUCUGCAGGAUCUACAGAUCCUAUUUACGUAUGGUUUCCAUAGCAAAUCUAAUUACCUUUAUUUCCACAAUCUACUCAUUUCCUUUGUUAUUUCUAUUAACUAUGUAUAGCUUAGUCUUCUUAAUUUAGCUAGCAGAAUUAAUUUGCAGAUUUAUUGUGUAUAGCUGUCUAUAGCUAAUUGCCAUGUAUGAUAGCUAAUUUCCUUGUAAUGUACAGCUAUCUAUAGCUAACUUCUCUGCACGGUUUUUUUAUUUAAUGAGAUUCUCACAAAGAUGAGAGAUUAUUCAGUCAAUUUGACAUGGUAUCAGAGCCUAUGUUCUAAAUCUGGUCAUUAACGCUUUCUCCUUUCGGUUUUCUCUAGUUUUAGUCCAAGGGGCUCUCGGUGUUCUAGAUUUUUGAGUCUCGAUAUAGCCUUAUGUUUUCUAGAUUUUGAAUUCUUGGUAAAGUUCUCUAGUUCUCUGGUUUCUAGCUUUCUUGGAGUUCUCUUUCUAGUGUUCUUUCUUGUGGUCAUAAUG
rnacentral:lncRNA from 1 species